ensembl:rRNA 5S_rRNA 5S ribosomal RNA
GUCUACGGCCAUACCACCCUGAACGUGCCAGAUCUUGGAAGCUAAGCAGGAUUGAGCCUGGUUAGUAUUUGGAUGGGAGAACAGCAAAGAAUGGUGAACAGCAGCUC